AAGAAAACUCCUCCUUCCCCACGUAUAUAUAGGACCAUGAAAUGCAUGGCCGUUUCAAAAUCGAACAGUCCUCUCCAACUCUUUCUCUCUCUCUCUGUGUCUCUCUGAUCUCUGUCUCUGUUUCGUCUAACCAGUCUCUGUUUCGUCUAACCAUGAAAUAGUUGAGGGGAAUGCUGUCUGGUUCGAGACCAUUUGAAGCAGUACAGAUGAUCAGAAUCAUAAAUCAAAUGAUGUCGGACCAGGCUUCAUUCCCCCCAACUCAUCAGUAGUACUAAUGGGCGCUAGAGAUCAACUUAAUUUCAUGCAUGCAAUGAUCAAUGGAAGCCCAAACAUCAACACUUUCAACAAUAUUCUCACUGCAUAUUUCUUCUGCUUUUUCAAGUACAUGUAAGUAGUUCUCACUAAUCUCUUCCUUCCCAUAUCAAUUAUAUAUUCUUGCACUCUAUGUAUGCAUCUCUCCCUUUUUCUCUCACGGAAAUGACAAGCGAAGGAGCUAUGCCGGCAGUCAAGCUAGCUGUUGGAGUAUGGCUAUACGAACAGGAAAUCUGUUCAUGAUGAGAGGAAAAUUCAGUUGGACAUGAUGAUCAAUUAAUUGUCGAGAGCUGGUGCCCGGUUCCUCGGAACUUCUGAACGUGCCAUAAACCGUUCGCUAUCAGCUGUCUGAGCAACGCGUUGCGCAUGAAGUUGGUGAGACCACGAGACGGUUUCUUUCUUUGUCCCUAGAAAGGAGAUCCCAAUUGGCACCGGUUAGGUAGUCUCACGGCACGGCUCCCAGGAAGAGAAAGUUCAGGCAAAUUCCCAUUCUCCGUUCUGUCACAACCAAUUGGUUGUUCCAUAGCAGUCAAUUCCCAAGUAUUCUUGUCUGGGGAAGGCAGGUCAUCGAAGCUAACAAAGGCGGCUGUGGCGGGUAUAGUUGAGAGCCUGGUUCAGCUAGAAUAACGUUAGUAGGGAAGAGUAUACAACUAUCAAUAGAUAGGGGAAAAAGCCCAAGAAAGAGGGUGAAAAAGUAUAGCUAAGGGGAUCACUACAAACCGUUGGAUAUUUUCUAGGAUUUGGUUUCAAAUGCUCCCUCCUUACAAGUCUGCACAACUUUGUUUUAACAAAUUCGUUGAAAAAUCCAGCGUGAAAAUAUGACUGGAAAGGCGAAAAAAAAACAAGCAAAUAAAGUAGUGUUUGAUCUUUUCGUGAAA